rnacentral:rRNA from 1 species
CAGCAGCCGCGGGAAAACGUAGGGUGCAAGCGUUAAUCGGAAUUACUGGGCGUAAAGCGUGCGCAGGCGGUUAUAUAAGACAGAUGUGAAAUCCCCGGGCUCAACCUGGGAACUGCAUUUGUGACUGUAUAGCUAGAGUACGGCAGAGGGGGAUGGAAUUCCGCGUGUAGCAGUGAAAUGCGUAGAUAUGCUGAGGAACACCGAUGGCGAAGGCAAUCCCCUGGGCCUGUACUGACGCUCAUGCACGAAAGCGUGGGGAGCAAACAGGAUUAGAUACCCCCGUAGUCCCUGUCUCUUAUAC